GAGUGUAUAGCUUAGUUGGUUAAAGCAGUGAAUUUUUAAUUCAUUAAUCUUAGGUUCAAGUCCUAAUACACUCA
rnacentral:tRNA from 1 species